rnacentral:rRNA from 1 species
AGAGUUUGAUCAUGGCUCAGAUUGAACGCUGGCGGCAUGCCUAACACAUGCAAGUCGAACGGCAGCACAGUGGAGCUUGCUCCAUGGGUGGCGAGUGGCGGACGGGUGAGUAAUGCAUCGGGACCUGCCCAGACGUGGGGGAUAACGUAGGGAAACUUACGCUAAUACCGCAUACGUCCUACGGGAGAAAGCGGGGGAUCUUCGGACCUCGCGCGGUUGGAUGGACCGAUGUUCGAUUAGCUAGUUGGUGAGGUAAUGGCUCACCAAGGCGACGAUCGAUAGCUGGUCUGAGAGGAUGAUCAGCCACACUGGGACUGAGACACGGCCCAGACUCCUACGGGAGGCAGCAGUGGGGAAUAUUGGACAAUGGGCGCAAGCCUGAUCCAGCAAUGCCGCGUGUGUGAAGAAGGCCUUCGGGUUGUAAAGCACUUUUAUCAGGAGCGAAAACCUGUCGGUUAAUACCCGGCGGGCCUGACGGUACCUGAGGAAUAAGCACCGGCUAACUUCGUGCCAGCAGCCGCGGUAAUACGAAGGGUGCAAGCGUUAAUCGGAAUUACUGGGCGUAAAGCGUGCGUAGGCGGUUUGUUAAGUCUGCUGUGAAAUCCCCGGGCUCAACCUGGGAAUGGCAGUGGAUACUGGCAGGCUAGAGUGUGUCAGAGGGUGGUGGAAUUCCCGGUGUAGCGGUGAAAUGCGUAGAGAUCGGGAGGAACAUCAGUGGCGAAGGCGGCCACCUGGGACAACACUGACGCUGAGGCACGAAAGCGUGGGGAGCAAACAGGAUUAGAUACCCUAGUAGUCC